GCAGUCGAACGCGAAAGUUCCCUUCGGGGGAUGAGUAGAGUGGCGAACUGGUGAGUAACAGGUGGGUAAUGUACCUCGCAGUGGGGGAUAACCCCUGGAAACAGGGGCUAAUACCGCAUGUGGCGACGGGAUCGUUGGACCCCGUCGUUAAAGGCUUCGGCCGCUGUGAGAUCAGCCCGUCUCCGAUUAGCUAGUUGGUGGGGUAACGGCCCACCAAGGCUGCGAUCGGUAGCUGGUCUGAGAGGAUGGUCAGCCACACUGGGAUUGAGAUACUGCCCAGACUCCUACGGGAGGCAGCAGUCUAGGAGCUUCCACAAUGGGCGAAAGCCUGAUGGAGCGACGCCGCGUGCGGGAUUGAAGGCCGUGAGGUUGUAAACCGCUGUCAGCAGGGAAGAAUGCCCCGAUGGUGAAUCGGGGAGAGACGGUACCUGAAGAGGAAGCCCUGGCUAACUCCGUGCCAGCAGCCGCGGUAAUACGGAGAGGGCAAACGUUGUUCGGAAUCACUGGGCGUAAAGGGUGCGUAGGCGGCUCGGUCAGUCUGAUGUGAAAUCUCCUCGCUCAACGAGGAAACUGCAUUGGAUACUGCCGAGCUCGAGGAUGGGAGAGGCAGGUGGAAUUCCUGGUGUAGCGGUGGAAUGCGUAGAUAUCAGGAAGAACACUCGUGGCGAAGGCGGCCUGCUGGCCCAUUUCUGACGCUGAGGCACGAAAGCCAGGGGAGCGAACGGGCUUAGAUACCCCGGUAGUCCUGGCCGUAAACGGUGAACACUGGGUGUCGGGGGUAUCGACCCC
rnacentral:rRNA from 1 species